CGCGAAAACUUUACAAUGCUGGCAACAGCGAUAAGGGAACCUCGAGUGCCAGGUUACAAAUCUGACUGUCGAGAUGCCUAAAAAGCAUUUCAUAGCAAGGGCCGGGCAAGACCGGUGCCAGCCGCCGCGGUAACACCGGCGGCUCGAGUGGUAACCGUUAUUAUUGGGUCUAAAGGGUCUGUAGCCGGCCGGAUAAGUCUCUUGGGAAAUCUGGCAGCUCAACUGUCAGGCUUUCAGGAGAUACUGUCUGGCUCGAGGCCGGGAGAGGUGAGAGGUACUUCAGGGGUAGGGGUAAAAUCUUGUAAUCCUUGAAGGACCACCAGUGGCGAAGGCGUCUCACCAGAACGGACCUGACGGCAAGGGACGAAAGCUAGGGGCACGAACCGGAUUAGAUACCCGGGUAGUCCUAGCCGUAAACGAUACUCGCUAGAUGUCGGCCACGGUGCGACCGUGGUCGGUGCCGUAGGGAAGCCGUGAAGCGAGCCACCUGGGAAGUACGGCCGCAAGGCUGAAACUUAAAGGAAUUGGCGGGGGAGCACCACAACGGGUGGAGCUUGCGGUUUAAUUGGAUUCAACGCCGG
rnacentral:rRNA from 1 species